rnacentral:rRNA from 1 species
CGAUUAGUCAUAUGCUUGUCUCAAAGAUUAAGCCAUGCAUGUCUAAGUAUAAGCAAUUAUACAGCGAAACUGCGAAUGGCUCAUUAAAUCAGUUAUCGUUUAUUUGAUAGUACCUUACUACAUGGAUAACCGUGGUAAUUCUAGAGCUAAUACAUGCUAAAAACCCCAACUUCGGAAGGGGUGUAUUUAUUAGAUUAAAAACCAAUGCCCUUCGGGGCUCCCUGGUGAUUCAUAAUAACUUCUCGAAUCGCACGGCCUUGCGCCGGCGAUGGUUCAUUCAAAUUUCUGCCCUAUCAACUUUCGACGGCAGGGUCUUGGCCUGCCAUGGUGACAACGGGUAACGGAGGGUUAGGGCUCGACCCCGGAGAAGGAGCCUGAGAAACGGCUACUACAUCCAAGGAAGGCAGCAGGCGCGCAAAUUACCCAAUCCCGACUCGGGGAGGUAGUGACAAUAAAUACUGAUACAGGGCUCUUUUGGGUCUUGUAAUUGGAAUGAGUACAAUUUAAAUCCCUUAACGAGGAACAAUUGGAGGGCAAGUCUGGUA